AGCGGCGGACGGGUGAGUAACGCGUGGGUAACCUGCCUCAUACAGGGGGAUAGCAGUUGGAAACGGCUGCUAAUACCGCAUAAGCGCACAGUACCGCAUGGUACGGUGUGAAAAACUCCGGUGGUAUGAGAUGGACCCGCGUCUGAUUAGGUAGUUGGUGGGGUAACGGCCUACCAAGCCGACGAUCAGUAGCCGACCUGAGAGGGUGACCGACCACAUUGGGACUGAGACACGGCCCAA
rnacentral:rRNA from 1 species